rnacentral:tRNA from 1 species
GGGCGGUUAGCUCAGCUGGUAGAGCAUCUCGUUUACACCGAGAGGGCCGGAGGUUCGAAUCCUUCACCGCCCACCA